GACGAACGCUGGCGGCGUGCCUAAUACAUGCAAGUAGAACGCUGAAGCGAGGAGCUUGCUCUUCUUGGCUGAGUUGCGAACGGGUGAGUAACGCGUAGGUAACCUGCCUUGUAGCGGGGGAUAACUAUUGGAAACGAUAGCUAAUACCGCAUAACAAUGGAUGACACAUGUCAUUUAUUUGAAAGGGGCAAUUGCUCCACUACAAGAUGGACCUGCGUUGUAUUAGCUAGUAGGUGAGGUAAUGGCUCACCUAGGCGACGAUACAUAGCCGACCUGAGAGGGUGAUCGGCCACACUGGGACUGAGACACGGCCCAGACUCCUACGGGAGGCAGCAGUAGGGAAUCUUCGGCAAUGGGGGCAACCCUGACCGAGCAACGCCGCGUGAGUGAAGAAGGGUUUCGGAUCGUAAAGCUCUGUUGUAAGUCAAGAACGGGUGUGGGAGUGGAAAGUUCACACUGUGACGGUAGCUGACCAGAAAGGGACGGCUAACUACGUG
rnacentral:rRNA from 1 species